CUCUACGGCCAUGCCACCUUGAACAAGCCCAAUCCCGUCUGAUCUCAGAAGCUAAGCCGGGUCAGGCCUGGUUAGUACUUGGAUGGGAGAUCACCUAGGAAGACCAGGUGCCAUAGGCG
rnacentral:rRNA from 1 species